rnacentral:rRNA from 1 species
CUGGGAUAACUCCGGGAAACCGGGGCUAAUACCGGAUAACAUUUUGAACCGCAUGGUUCGAAAUUGAAAGGCGGCUUCGGCUGUCACUUAUGGAUGGACCCGCGUCGCAUUAGCUAGUUGGUGAGGUAACGGCUCACCAAGGCAACGAUGCGUAGCCGACCUGAGAGGGUGAUCGGCCACACUGGGACUGAGACACGGCCCAGACUCCUACGGGAGGCAGCAGUAGGGAAUCUUCCGCAAUGGACGAAAGUCUGACGGAGCAACGCCGCGUGAGUGAUGAAGGCUUUCGGGUCGUAAAACUCUGUUGUUAGGGAAGAACAAGUGCUAGUUGAAUAAGCUGGCACCUUGACGGUACCUAACCAGAAACGCCACGGCUAACUACGUGCCAGCAGCCGCGGUAAUACGUAGGUGGCAAGCGUUAUCCGGAAUUAUUGGGCGUAAAGCGCGCGCAGGUGGUUUCUUAAGUCUGAUGUGGAAAGCCCACGGCUCAACCGUGGAGGGUCAUUGGAAACUGGGAGACUUGAGUGCAGAAGAGGAAAGUGGAAUUCCAUGUGUAGCGGUGAAAUGCGUAGAGAUAUGGAGGAACACCAGUGGCGAAGGCGACUUUCUGGUCUGUAACUGACACUGAGGCGCGAAAGCGUGGGGAGCAAACA